rnacentral:rRNA from 1 species
UACGUAGGGGGCGAGCGUUGUCCGGAUUCAUUGGGCGUAAAGAGCUCGUAGGCGGCUUACUAAGUCGAGUGUGAAACCUCCAGGCUCAACCUGGAGCCUGCACUCGAUACUGGUAUGGCUUGAGUCCGGUAGGGGAUCACGGAAUUCCUGGUGUAGCGGUGAAAUGCGCAGAUAUCAGGAGGAACACCGGUGGCGAAGGCGGUGAUCUGGGCCGGAACUGACGCUGAGGAGCGAAAGCGUGGGGAGCGAACAGG